ACUUGGUUAGCUCAGACAGGUUAGAGCAUCAGACUAAGAAUCUGACUGUCACGGGUUCGAUUCCCGUACCAAACC
rnacentral:tRNA from 1 species